UACGGAGGGGGCUAGCGUUGUUCGGAAUUACUGGGCGUAAAGCGCACGUAGGCGGCUUUGGAAGUUAGAGGUGAAAGCCCGGAGCUCAACUCCGGAAUUGCCUUUAAGACUGCAUCGCUAGAAUUGUGGAGAGGUGAGUGGAAUUCCGAGUGUAGAGGUGAAAUUCGUAGAUAUUCGGAAGAACACCGGUGGCGAAGGCGGCAUCCUGGACCAAUACUGACGCUGAGGAGCGAAAGCCAGGGGAGCAAACGGG
rnacentral:rRNA from 1 species